rnacentral:rRNA from 1 species
GAUCGUUCGCGGUCAUAUCUCAUGAGCCUUCUCGCUCAAGUGGAAGAGUUCCUAGUGGCCAUUUUUGUAAGCAGAACUGGCGAUGCGGGAUGAACCGAACGUCAGUUAAAGUGCCUAAGUGUACGCUCAUAUAGAUCCCCAUAAAGGUGUUGAUUCAUUUAGACAGCAGGACGGUGGCCAUGGAAGUCGGAAUCCGCUAAGGAGUGUGUAACAACUCACCUGCCGAAUGAAUCAGCCCUGAAAAUGGAUGGCGCUCAAGCGUACCACUUAUACUUGACCUUUAGAGUAACGUUGUUUUGAAGUGAUAUGCUCUAAAAGUGUAGGAGGGCGUGGAGUUUGUAAAGAAGCCUCUGCUCGUGAGGGUAGGUGAAACAAACUCUAGUGCAGAUCUUGGUGGUAGUAGCAAAUAUUCAAAUGAGAACUUUGAAGACUGAAGUGGAG